CUCUGUUGUUAGGGAAGAACAAGGUAUCGGAGUAACUGCCGGUACCUUGACGGUACCUAACCAGAAAGCCACGGCUAACUACGUGCCAGCAGCCGCGGUAAUACGUAGGUGGCAAGCGUUGUCCGGAAUUAUUGGGCGUAAAGCGCGCGCAGGCGGUCCUUUAAGUCUGAUGUGAAAGCCCACGGCUCAACCGUGGAGGGUCAUUGGAAACUGGGGGACUUGAGUGCAGAAGAGGAGAGUGGAAUUCCACGUGUAGCGGUGAAAUGCGUAGAGAUGUGGAGGAACACCAGUGGCGGCGGCGACUCUCUGGUCUGUAACUGACGCUGAGGCGCGAAAGCGUGGGGAGCAAACAGGAUUAGAUACCCUGGUAGUCCACGCCGUAAACGAUGAGUGCUAAGUGUUAGAGGGUUUCCGCCCCUUAGUGCUGCAGCUAACGCAUUAAGCACUCCGCCUGGGGAGCACGGCCGCAAGGCUG
rnacentral:rRNA from 1 species